ACGAUAUGCAGGUUUUAAGUACAUUAGAUAAGACCUUCCCUUACAUUGACUUGAUUUCAAUUUGAUUGGUCCAAUUCAUGUAUGAAACAUGUUUAUUUUAUAAUAAUCGUUGGAUAUAGAUUUAAGAGGAGGUGUUUAAGGGAGGAAGAGAGAGAGAGAGAGAGAGAGAUGCAUGGAAUCGUGGUCAUGUCUAGAAGUGAAAAGUGAGAGGCAGGUGGUGGGGUCUAAGUCCACCCCCGAUGUUUUUGUCUUUUACAUCCCUUACCUUUUUCACUUCUUUUCAUUUUCCCCUCUUCUUAUAACCCUUCCAAACACACAACCCUUUCUCACUUUCUUAAUUAUCAUUUCUUUUUUUUUUUCUCCUAUCUCUUUCUCAUCCCCCUUGAAGAAAGGCGAAACUCUAGGGGGGGAUAGAAGAUAAGGAAAUGACCCAAAAGCCAAACAUUGUUUUAGGGUUUUUAGGGUUUUCUUCUGGAGUUGAUUUGAAGAUCUGAAGAAAAAUGGAAGCUUUUUUUUUUUCUUUUGUCUCUCUUAUAUUUUCUUUUGAGGGGAAUGUUGUCUGGCUCGAGGACACUUGUUCUUUUUCAUCCACUUCUUGAAUUCAUUAGUGUCGUCGGACCAGGCUUCAUUCCCCCCAAUUGCCUCCUCCUUAGUUUCCCCCAUUCAAAAACACACACAGAAAGGAAUUUUCAUGUUAUCAAAUGAGCUAGCUUUCGACGACAACGAUGACAAUGAUGAUGCCCCGGGUGGUAAGUCUUCGUAAAGAUUUGAUUUUUAGCAUUGAUCUGUGGUUGGAAUCUAUGUAUUAUGAACAUGAAGCCUUGAAAAAGGAACAUAGUUUGAAAUUUGAAUAUGGGGGCUUUUAGUUAAUUAUUUAAAGGUUGGAUUUUUUUCUUUUUUUUGGUAGUUUAAUUUAAUUUUUAGGUUGUACUAAUAUUAGUGGUAAGAGACAGACGUUUGUUAUUGACUUUGGAAUGUGAUUGUGUUGUGUUUGUUUUUUAGCAGUGUUUGGAUAUUGAAAAUUGUGAGAUUGUUCAUUGAAAAGGUAAAAAGUCAAAUUUUGAAGUGUAAGACUAUGUGCCUAUAGGUUGCCUUCUCCAACAAAAAGUUUGCAGUUUGCCCCAUUUGAGGAGGGCUACCACUGUCUUUCCAAUUUUGUGAAUCCAAUAAACUCAACACAAAUUUAUUUAUUUAA